rnacentral:rRNA from 1 species
GCCUAAAGCGUCCGUAGCCGGCUUUGUUAGUUUUCGGUUAAAUCCAUAUGCUCAACAUAUGGGCCGCCGGGAAUACUGUAAAGCUAGGGAGUGGGAGAGGUAGACGGUACUCCGUAGGAAGGGGUAAAAUCCUUUGAUCUAUGGAUGACCACCAGUGGCGAAGGCGGUCUACCAGAACACGUUCGACGGUGAGGGAUGAAAGCUGGGGGAGCAAACCGGAUUAGAUACCCGGGUAGUCCCAGCUGUAAACUAUGCAAACUCAGUGAUGCAUUGGCUUGUGGCCAGUGCAGUGCCGCAGAGAAGUCGUUAAGUUUGCCGCCUGGGAAGUACGUACGCAAGUAUGAAACUUAAAGGAAUUGGCGGGGGAGCACCACAAGGGGUGAAGCCUGCGGUUCAAUUGGAGUCAACGCCAGAAAUCUUACCCGGAGAGACAGCAGAAUGAAGGUCAAGUUGAAGCCUUUACCAGACAAGCUGAGAAGUGGUGCAUGGCCGUCGCCAGCUCGUGCCGUGAGGUGUCCUGUUAAGUCAGGUAACGAGCGAGAUCCUUGCCUCUAGUUGCUACCAUUACUCUCAGGAGUAGUGGAGCGAAUUAGCGGGACUGCCGUAGUUAAUACGGAGGAAGGAGAGGGCCACGGCAGGUCAGUAUGCCCCGAA